rnacentral:rRNA from 1 species
UAAGGAAUAUUGGUCAAUGGACGCAAGUCUGAACCAGCCAUGCCGCGUGAAGGAUGAAGGUCCUCUGGAUUGUAAACUUCUUUUAUGUGGGAAGAAACCACUCUUUUCUAGGGGUGUUGACGGUACCAUAGGAAUAAGCACCGGCUAACUCCGUGCCAGCAGCCGCGGUAAUACGGAGGGUGCAAGCGUUAUCCGGAUUCACUGGGUUUAAAGGGUGCGUAGGCGGAUUAGUAAGUCCGUGGUGAAAUCUCCGAGCUUAACUCGGAAACUGCCGUGGAUACUAUUAGUCUUGAAUGUUGUGGAGGUUAGCGGAAUAUGUCAUGUAGCGGUGAAAUGCAUAGAUAUGACAUAGAACACCAAUUGCGAAGGCAGCUGGCUACACAAAUAUUGACGCUGAUGCACGAAAGCGUGGGGAUCAAACAG